UGUGUGUAAGAGAGCCAGCUCCCUACUAUGAAGAGACAGUUUCCUGCUUAUUACAAUAUUUUCAGGAAGUAUGCAAGACAACGGGGCAGAGCUAAGAGGAUCAUUUAUUGUCUACCAUUACCUACCGCAAUCCUCCAGCAAGAAAAAAGGAGUGGCAGUCUCACUGUGGACUCUACAGGAUUUCUUUUAUUCUCAGUUACCUACAAGUGUGAUACAGAAGUAGAAAUUUGCCAUUACGCUGAGUGGUUGCUGGUACUUUCCAAAGCAGAGA
rnacentral:lncRNA from 1 species